rnacentral:rRNA from 1 species
UACGGAGGGGGCGAGCGUUGUCCGAAUUUAUUGGGCGUAAAGCGCGUGUAGGCGGAUUGCCAAGCCUGGGGUGAAAGCCCGGAGCUCAACUCCGGAACGGCCCUGGGGACUGGUAGUCUGGAGGCAGGCAGAGGAGAGUGGAAUUCCUGGUGUAGCGGUGGAAUGCGUAGAGAUCAGGAAGAACACCCAUGGCGAAGGCAGCUCUCUGGGCCUGUACUGACGCUGAGACGCGAAAGCGCGGGGAGCGAACGGG